UGGUAUCAAAAUUCUAGCAAAUGCAGAUGGGCUUUGAUUGCUACAUACCCUUGAGAAUCGUUCAUUUGACACUUCAAGAGUUGCUUCUGGUUCUAUUGUGAAGGCAACUACACUCAACACAUUUGGUCCUACAACAACUGGCACAAAUGUUGGUGUUGUAGAUCGAGGUCCUCCAACAAUGGGAAUAGUUGGACUGAAUGGAGAGAGCCGGGGUUUGUCUGAUGUGAAACCACCCAGAGUUGUAGAGGAUUCUAUAGAGAAGCCUAAGAUUUGGAAGUUGACUGAAAUCAAUG